AGUGAAUGGUGUGCGUAGUGUCCGUCUGCGUUUAGUGCCGUCUCCGGUCUGUGUCUUGCAGGCUGUGGGACGGUUCUCACACCGCACUCAUGGCCACAGAGCCACCGGAGAUCAUAGUACUGGCCUAGUGUUGUCUAAAUGACCAUCCACCACUGACCAGCCUCCAUAGUCUCCAACAAAA